rnacentral:rRNA from 1 species
UACAUGGGGUGCAAACGUUGCUCGGAAUUAUUGGGCGUAAAGCGCACGUAGGCGGUUCGUUAAGUCGGAUGUGAAAGCCCUCGGCUCAACUGAGGAAGUGCACCCGAAACUGGCGAGCUUGAGUACGAAAGAGGAUCGCGGAAUUCCCGGUGUAGAGGUGAAAUUCGUAGAUAUUCGCAAGAACACCAGUGGCGAAGGCGGCUCACUGGCCCGAUACUGACGCUGAGGCACGGAAAGCGUGGGGAGCAAACAGG